rnacentral:rRNA from 1 species
UACGUAGGUGGCAAGCGUUGUCCGGAAUUAUUGGGCGUAAAGCGCUCGCAGGCGGUCUUUUAAGUCUGAUGUGAAAUCUCGUGGCUCAACCACGAACGGUCAUUGGAAACUGGGGGACUUGAGUACAGAAGAGGAGAGUGGAAUUCCACGUGUAGCGGUGAAAUGCGUAGAGAUGUGGAGGAACACCAGUGGCGAAGGCGACUCUCUGGUCUGUAACUGACGCUGAGGAGCGAAAGCGUGGGGAGCGAACAGG